GUGUAAAGAUUUAGCACUCGUCCAUCUUUUUUCCUUGCGAGCAUGGCUUACACACUUUCGAAGUGCGCAUGCUCUGUUUUGAAUGACGUAAUUUGUGAUGUCAUCAUAAUGGAGUUUUCCAGGGAAAGAAGUUGGCCCAUCUGAGGUAAGUAAACACGGUUGAAAGAAAAUUUUUGCAUAUUAACAAUGAGUUUUUUAUUAGAUAGACUGAUUAAAUGGUGUUUCAUACCGAUCGUGUUAUGUACAAGCGACAGAGUACCCGAGUUACUGAAAAUUCCGAUGAUGAAAGUGAUAUAUCUAUGGUCUUCAACUUUUAAUCUCCAAGAAGGAAAUGUAAUUAAAAGAUGAAUAAAGUAUCCCUAAGAAUACCAGAAGAAAGGCUAUGUGUUGAGAAAAACAGCCCUUCCUCAGUACCUCAGAACUAGAUGAUAGCCCUUAAUUGUUACUUUAUGCUGAAUAUGACACAGUAUAGAAGAUCUGAUCAUGAAGAAGUAACACCAUUGAUACACUUGCCAACUGCCAAAAUUACUUUCUGAUAGUAUGACGAGAUUAGAAGAUAUCAUGGUGUAGUCAUGACACAAACUGCAAAUCAAAGAAUUAAUUGUCUUCCCCAGAGGAUGAACAGAGCACGAUGGCUUCACAUGGAUAACAUUUCCUUUCGAGUUUUGAAAUUAAUUUGUCAGAAUGUUAUGCAUCGUUAUCAACAGAAAAGAACUUCAUAGGUAGACCAAAGCUGACAUGGGAUGAGAUCCUAGAACAAGACCUAGAGUUUACAGGAUUGGAUAGGAUCAAUCCACUGGGUCGCCAAGUGUGGAAGUACAAACUUCAACCUCGACAGGACAGCCAGGCCUCACCCUUGCAAAAAGAUUAAUUUGGCCUGGAUAGUCAAAAUGAGUGAUGAUGAUUGAUAUCAAGGUCUGACACUGGAAGCUCAGUAAGGGUAGAUGCUGGCAAUGGAGCUGUUUAGCAAUAAAACAAACAAGUUUAACAUUAAACAUGUUUGUAUACUUUUUUGGCUCACCUGAGCCAAAGGCUCAAGUGAGCUUUUCUGAUCACCUUUGCCUGUCGUCUGUCUGUUUAUAAACUUUUCACAUUUUCAUUUUCUUCUCCAGAGUGAACCACUGGGCCAGUUUCAAUCAAACUUGGUAUGCAUCAUCAAUAGAUAAAGGGUAUUCAAGUUUGUUCAUAUAAAGGGUCAUGCACCCUUCAAAAAGGAAAUAAUCAUGGAAAUGCAAAAAUAGGGUGGGGUCAUUUAAAAAACCUUUUCAAGAACCACUGGACCAGGAAAGUUGAAUUCACACGAAAGGUUCCUGUUUUGUGCAAAUCAUGGUCUCUGGGGGUAGGGUGGGGUCACAAUAGAGAAUCAAAGUUUUACAUUCAUAUAUAGUGCAUAUUCAAGUUUGUAAAAAGCUCACAGGGGUAGGGUGGGGUCACAAUAGAGAAUCAAAGUUUUACAUUCAUAUAUAGUGCAUAUUCAAGUUUGUAAAAAGCUCACAGGGGUAGGGUGGGGUCACAAUAGAGAAUCAAAGUUUUACAUUCAUAUAUAGUGCAUAUUCAAGUUUGUAAAAAGCUCACAGGGGUAGGGUGGGGUCACAAUAGAGAAUCAAAGUUUUACAUUCAUAUAUAGUGCAUAUUCAAGUUUGUAAAAAGCUCACAGGGGUAGGGUGGAGGUCACAAUAGGUGAUUUAAGUUUUACAUGUGAAAUAUAUACAAGGAAAAUCUUUUAAAAUCUUCUCCUCAAAAACUAGAUGCAGAACCGUAGCUCUUUGAAAAGAGAGCUUCAGAUGAACCCCUUAUAAAAAAAACUUCAAUUUAUGGCAGAGAAAAAAAGUGCAUGUUUAAGUCCCUCUAUCACUGCAUUCCUGCAUCGCUGUCUCAUGAAUUUAAUAUUAAAUAAUUCCCAACAUAUUUUCCCACUAUACUUGUUUCCAAACAUACUUUCAAAUAUUUUCUAAACCCACAUAUAACCCCAAAACAGCUUCAAGUGAUUUCAAUUUCUUUGUUGAUGUAGCCAUGUUAAGUAGCCUGUCAAUUUGAACCCCAGUUCAUUUCCAUACUCAUACUCAUUUUGAAACAUAAUGUCUGUGUGAACUAAUAUCCUCACAAAUAUUUUUAGUGAAAUAUUUUGGAUGAAAUCAUCCCAGUUGGGUUAAAUACUUAUUAUUCAAAUACUGUAGGUUUGAAUAUUGAACUAAUCUCACAGCUUUCUUAAGUUUGGUCCCCAUCCCCACCAGUCUGUUUUUACGCUUAACUAUUGAAAUGGGGUGUAAGGGAUCAGACUAGGCUUUUAUAGCAUUAUCAAUUUUCAAAAGCUUUAGAAAAAUUAUACAAUUUUAGGUCACUUGAGUAAACUCAGAUGACAUGUUGCUAUUGAUCUGCAUCUGUUGUAGUCCGUCGACAUUAACAAUUGAACAUUUUUAACUAAAUUCUAUAACUGAAAGAUGAAGAUACCGCACAGCGAUCAAUCUACGAUUCAAAUAACGGAAUUCUUUUCAAAUUUAGUAUGAAGCACACAAAUUUACAUUAAACCUUCUUGACAUAGUGCAUAUUCAAGUUUGUUAAAAUCAUUUCCCCGGGAGUUAUGGUGUGGUAACAAUAGGGGGUCAAAGUUUUAUAUGCUAGCUGAUAUAAAGGAAAAUUCUUUAAAGAUAUCUCUUGAACUAUUUAAGCUAGGGCUUUCAUAUCUUGUAUAUACAAUUUUUAUGGCAAAACAAAUCUGACUUAUUCAGUAUGUCCUGAACUACAUUGUGUUUAAGGUAGAUCUUUCAUAUAUAUUAUAUAUUAUGAAUUUCUUAUGAUAAAACCUUUCAUCUUGUUGAGGAGCCUCUCACCUCUGGUUGGCGCGGGUUUGAAUCCUGCUCGCACCGGUAAUUGAGAAAGUUUCCCAGUUUACUCUCGGAAGGUCGGUGGUCUCUUCCCAGGUACAUUGUAUCUGGGUUCUCUCUUCCACCAAUAAAAACUGGGCACCACCAGAUAACUGAAAAAUUGUUGAGUGUGGCGGAAAACAGUUAAAACAAUCAAUCAUAUUAUGUUAUUUGACCUUGUGACCCUGAAUUCUGAGUUUGACAUACUUUUAAGAAAGUAUAACAUAUUAAGUAUAUCCAGGACUAUUUUAGAUAGGGCUUUUAUGUUUUGUAUAUUGAUUACUUAUGGCAAGGUCUUUCAUAUCAUACCAAGACCUACGACUUUUUACCUUGGUCUUAUCCAGAACAGCAAUAUCAUGCUAGUCAUAUCUUUGUCUUAUAUGAUUUCAUUUUAGUAAUGUUGUGUUCUUUAGAGCUAGGUUUGGGUCACAUUAUUCAUGAGAAUAAAGAUUGAUAAAAUAGCAUUUAAAAAUCAAAACAGCAGGGCCAAGAUGACUCAGGUGAGCGAUGUGGCCCAUGGGCCUCUUGUUGAUUUUGAUAUUUCUACCUAUAUCAUUUGUAUGAGAAAUGGAACUCCUUUUUUUCUUUUACAAAUACAUGUAUUAUCAUAUGGAUCCAUCUUUGUUGAUUAUUUAAUCAAAGGACAUAUUCAAUUCAUUCAAUGUAUUAAAUGUAAAUUUAUGGAUAUGUCUGUGGUUAAAUUACUUAUGUAUGUAUGUAUACAUUUUUCUCGCACAUGCAAUUACAUAUAUGAUGUAUAUAUAUUUACUAAUUGUACAUGUAAUAUCCCCUGUUAUAUAAUAAAAUAUAUGACUGAGAAUAAAA